CGGGGCUUCAAGGGAUUGGUAUCCCCGUGCAAGGAGGUUGGCGAGGCCUCAGGGGACUCCCAGUUCAGCGAAUCCGUUAGCCUUCCUCUGCCUUAGUCACUUCCCCGUGAGGCACUCCGUGUUUGUGUACACGGUUAUUCCACGUGUCAGUCAGUUCAUCGGGCGCAUCCGGAGUCAUUGAAAACAGUAAUAGGAAGUCAAACAAACCCGCUUGAUGCAAAAAUUCAGGAGGACAUUCGGUUUUUAAGGAAAUAGUGCUGAGGAAGGACCAGGCUGGAGCUCCUUGGACCCUGAGACUGGGAGCAUGGGACUCAGAGAGGAGAAGAGGCUUCAACC
rnacentral:lncRNA from 1 species